rnacentral:ncRNA from 2 species
CGACCCCCCGCGGGAGAGUGUCCGGUCGCCCCAAGCGGGUGCCGGGCCGCCGAAGGAGCAAGCCUCCCCGCCAAUCUCUCAGGCCACCGAACCGCCGGGGUGAG